AGCAACAGCACCCAUUUGUGACAUCAUGGAGUGAAGAGGCACAUUAUUCUCUGAGCCAAACUCUUUCUUCAAAUCAAACCCACAGAAGAAAAAUGCAGACACCAGCACCCUGAACAGCCUCAAGUGCUUCAUUGAGAUAAAAGCCUGCAGAUCACCCAGACUCAGGACCUCUGAUGACGCACAGCAGCUGAGAGGCUAACCUGGGAUAUGCUGCUGUAGAUAAAAGUCCUGAAACGCUUCCUUUCCAUCACCUUUCCUGUCAGCUACCGCAGCCAUUCCCACUGACAGAGCUGAAAGAUGGAGUCAUAUGGUAAACACUGCCAAAAUUUCCUAGAAUGGGGAUAUCUCCUUUAAGCAGCAUUGAAUUUGGAGGCCCUUGAACCGACAUUCCAGAGACCAAAGCAAAAUGUUGAAAAGCUGCUCCCCCAGUCCCUCGGAACCUCCCCGCAUCCCCUGAGCUGUGUCAAGGCUCAAACUGUGACAGAGCAUCUCCCGGAGCCCCAUGCGGUGAUUCACAGAAGCGGUGGGUGGCUAGAGAAGCCAGCAGGAAUUUAAAAAGACCUAAGCCUCCCCUCUGCUCCCCUGCCUUCCUUCAUAGCCGCGUGUUCAGACCUUCCAGAUUCAUCAACCAUAUUAGAGCCUGAGGACCUCCUCAUGGCAACCUGACCUCCAAUCUAUGUCGCCCACCAAAGCUGACUUGCAAAACAGAGGCGUUGGAGUCUACAUCUGUUUUUGGAAGAGGAGUGUGGCCGCAAUCGUAAGGGAAAGACAAAGCCAGCUGUGUUUUGACCUCAAGGACUCUGUGGGCUCCAUUCCUGUUUCUUUUCCCCAGAGGAUUUCGUGAUGUCUUUCGAAUUCCCCUCCCCUAUGCUGCUGCACAGAGAGUCACCUUUUUCUUCCUAGCCCAGCUGCUGCUAUUCCUGAUGACAGCCUUGCCAUAUGGCACCACUCACUCAGCUCCAUCAAGCAGCAUCAAGCUCAUCUUAAUAGUAUUUACCCCACACUUCUCUGGCAGUCAAACUCAGCUGCACCCAGAGCUGUCCUGUGGGUGUGCCCAUCCACUGUACUCCACUGAGAAUACUUACGCAUGUGUAUGAAUGAAGCUAGACAUGAUACA